CGAUGCUCAGCAGAUUCAGAAGACCGCAGCUGCCCAUGAGGAUAUAGCCAACUUGGAGAAAUAGCUAAAGAAACAGAUACAAAAGAGAGAACAAAGAAUUUGACACAGAUUUGGAACAACUCGAGGCAUCAACAGUAAACGGUUAAGGCUCACGUCGGUUAAACGCAAUGAGACUCACCAUUCUGAGCGAAGGAAGUCACCCCCCACCUAUAAAACAAAACAACAAUCACGC